rnacentral:tRNA from 1 species
GCUCAGUGGUUAAGAGCACUGGCUGCUCUUCCAGAGGGCCUGGGUUCAAUUCCCAG